UAAUUAUUAAGGAGGGAAGUUACUGUGGUGGGGUUUUGAUGUUGUUGAGUUUCUAAGACAUUCAAGUGUAUCAAGACAUUUCAGAAGUAUCCAGUGCCAAGGAGUUCUUAAGCACUGCAAGCCCUCUGAGCUUGUGCAGAUGCUUUUGAUUUUCCUCACUGCAGGUCAACCUAUGGUGUUAGUUACUGGUAGGAGCAGAUGGAACUGAAGCUACGUUGGCACAAAGAAACUUUCAGAAAGUAGGCACAAAUUUAUCCAAGUGUUUUGAGGUUUAAGUCCUACAAUUAGGGUUUAUGUUACACGGUCCAUUCUAACACCUUCCUCCUAGGAGUGUCCUGGGAAAAUAACCAAGGACAUAAUCAAAAAGGACACCUAUGAUGCAUGCAGCAGCGUGAACUAUUGCAUCCCCUCCACCCAUAAGCACUAAGAAGAUCAGAACACAUUGAACAAGAGUCAAUCUCUGCUCCAUGAAUGACCUUUUACAGGAAUUUGGAUUUCUCUGUACUGCAGUGUUUCAUGAAUAAAACAUGGCACUUCUUUGCCUAGAAGGAAACAGGGCAAUAAGUAGAGGAAAUGGUAGGCAGGUACUGUAUAAAGGGGACUAUGUAAAUUACAUGGAAAAGUUUGAUUGUGCAGUAUAAGAUUCUUCUGUAUGCAAAAUAAAAUACUUUUAUCUAAGAAGCUGAACAUCGCAACUAAUUUGCAAGGAAAUGGCUUGUACGAGAGCUCCAAUGGAAUGGGACCAAGAGAAAACUAGUGAAGAAAAAUACUCUGUUUCUGUAGAUUCAAGGUCUUCAAAAAAGGAGUUGUCUUCAGCCCUCCAGCAGAGACACUGAAAGUGAGCCCAGAGGGGAGAAGAAAAGGCAGACUUUCUGUUAAAAGUUCUGUGUAGUUCUGUGGAUAAACGUAUGCCUACUGUUGCAUUUCAAAACUGAAAUGACUCAAGGCCUGGAAAACCUACCUUAUGAUAGAAAUAGGUCCCUGAGAUGCACCAGGACUGUUAAGUCUACAGAGCAGGUAUGUUUGCUUAGUGCCUGUAAACGUUUAUUCUUCAUCUUGGACUGGAAGCACAUGGGAGGCCACCUAGUCAGAGACUAAAUACUGAUCAGUCCUGGCUGAUUUUACCUGUCAGUUUGUUUCCUCAGAGUCCUCUUCAACAUGACUCAAAUUUUCAGUAGCCCAAGCUGCAAGCUGAGCUGGACUAAGUAAUCUGGAAAAUGAACAGAUUUGAUCAAACCCGAACAUUUGGCAAGUCUAAAGUAAACUGACUGUUAUAUUGGUGGUACAGUAACAAGAAAUUACAGGCUCCAAAAGCUGAGACAAAACACUUCUUAGGAGCUUUGCUACUUGCUUUUAAAGACUUAUGAAAUAUAAAAGUGUUUUAAUUUUCAGAACAUUAGGGUAAAAUCUGAGACAGUCCAAUUACCAUAGAAAGCAUAGGUUCAUCCUUCCCAUUUGGAGUGCUAAGAGUGACUAGAUAUAUCUGCUUAUUUAGAAGUAUUGCAGUUGUAUUGGAACAACUGAUAUAAAAACACGCUAUCCCACGCUCCCACUUUCCCGCUAUUUGCCAAUUUGUAAUUACAGUAUGUAAAUACACAGCAGAAUGGGUCUUUGGUUAAUCAAAUUGAUUUAAUUGCUGAAUCCCCACAGAUGAAUGUGAAC
ensembl:lncRNA